UACGUAGGGGGCAAGCGUUGUCCGGAUUUAUUGGGCGUAAAGCGCGCGCAGGCGGCUUACUAAGUCUGGUGUGAAAGCCCACGGCUCAACCGUGGAGGGCCAUUGGAAACUGGUAAGCUUGAGUGCAGGAGAGGAGAGCGGAAUUCCUGGUGUAGCGGUGAAAUGCGUAGAUAUCAGGAGGAACACCCGUGGCGAAGGCGGCUCUCUGGCCUGUAACUGACGCUGAGGCGCGAAAGCGUGGGGAGCAAACAGG
rnacentral:rRNA from 1 species